rnacentral:rRNA from 1 species
UACAGAGGUCUCAAGCGUUGUUCGGAUUCAUUGGGCGUAAAGGGUGCGUAGGCGGUGCUGUAAGUCAGGUGUGAAAUCCCGGGGCUCAACCCCGGAACUGCACUUGAUACUGCAGUGCUCGAGGACUGGAGAGGAGAUCGGAAUUCAUGGUGUAGCAGUGAAAUGCGUAGAUAUCAUGAGGAAGACCAGUGGCGAAGGCGGAUCUCUGGACAGUUCCUGACGCUGAGGCACGAAGGCCAGGGGAGCAAACGGG